UACGGGGGGGGCAAGCGUUGUUCGGAAUUACUGGGCGUAAAGGGCUCGUAGGCGGCCAACUAAGUCGGACGUGAAAUCCCCAGGCUCAACCUGGGAACUGCGUCUGAUACUGGAUGGCUUGAAUCCGGGAGAGGGAUGCAGAAUUCCAGGUGUAGCGGUGAAAUGCGUAGAUAUCUGGAGGAAUACCGGUGGCGAAGGCGGCGUUCUGGACUGCAACUGACACUGAGGAACGAAAGCCAGGGGAGCAAACGGG
rnacentral:rRNA from 1 species